rnacentral:tRNA from 1 species
GGCGGCGUAGCUCAGUUGGCUAGAGCAUACGGUUCAUACCCGUACGGUCACUGGUUCGAAUCCAGUCGCCGCCACCA